GUUAAGCGACUAAGCGUACACGGUGGAUGCCCUGGCAGUCAGAGGCGAUGAAGGGCGUGCUAAUCUGCGAUAAGCGCCGGUAAGGUGAUAUGAACCGUUAUAACCGGCGAUACCCGAAUGGGGAAACCCAGUGUGAUUCGUCACACUAUCAUUAACUGAAUCCAUAGGUUAAUGAGGCGAACCGGGGGAACUGAAACAUCUAAGUACCCCGAGGAAAAGAAAUCAACCGAGAUUCCCCCAGUAGCGGCGAGCGAACGGGGAGGAGCCCAGAGCCUGAAUCAGCAUGUGUGUUAGUGGAAGCGUCUGGAAAGGCGCGCGAUACAGGGUGACAGCCCCGUACACAAAAGCGCAUGUGCUGUGAGCUCGAUGAGUAGGGCGGGACACGUGGUAUCCUGUCUGAAUAUGGGGGGACCAUCCUCCAAGGCUAAAUACUCCUGACUGACCGAUAGUGAACCAGUACCGUGAGGGAAAGGCGAAAAGAACCCCGGCGAGGGGAGUGAAAAAGAACCUGAAACCGUGUACGUACAAGCAGUG
rnacentral:rRNA from 1 species